rnacentral:misc_RNA from 1 species
AUGGACGAAUCCCAUAAAAUGGGAUUCCUCGGAGCCACGUCAUAUGUGAUCGGUAAUAUUAUCGGGUCAGGAAUCUUUAUCACACCAGCAUCAAUUCUUCGAAAUGUCGAUAGUAUUGGUCUGAGCUUGCUCAUUUGGGUGCUCUGUGCAGUUAUUGCUAUUUUGGGUGCAAUUUGUUACAUCGAAUUAGGCACCUCAAUUCGAGAAGCCGGCUGUGAUUUCGCUUACAUUUGUUACGUGAAAUGGUACUCAAUUGCUUUUGCGUUCAUGUGGGUCUCCGUCCUGAUGACAUAUCCCGCCACAAUUGCAAUUUGUGCAGAAACGUUCGGGCAGUACCUUAUAGAGGGUCUGAAACAGUACUACGAAAUCGACGAUGCCCUCGUGCCGACGUGCCAAAAGUUGUUUGCGUAUUCGUUAUUAUUUCUCGUCACGUGGAUGAACUUCUUUGAGUUGAGCAAGUUUGCAGCUCGCUUUCAAAUUCUUGCAACAAUCGCCAAGCUCUUCUCGUGUAUGCUCAUCAUCGGGACCGGCUUCUAUUUUUAUUUCGUGAAAGGAUGGCAUGGCUAUUUGGAAAACCCGAUGCAAGGUUCAAAAUACGGAACUGGUAACCUUAUCCUAGGAUUCUAUGGUGGUCUCUGGGCGUUCUCCGGGUGGGACGUGCUCAACUAUAGUACCGGAGAGAUCAAGCAUCCGAAGCGAAACGUGCCCUUUGCACUACUCACCGGAAUCAGUGUCGUCACGGCGAUCUACGUGGCGAUCAAUGUGGCCUACUUCGUGGUGCUCGACGUGGAGACGGUGAAACAAUCGGAUGCAGUCGCUGCGAUUUUUAGUCGUGAGACGCUUGGCGAUUUUGCGAACGUCGUGCCCUUUCUCAUUGGUAUUCUGCUCAUCGGAUCGUUGAACAGCAACCUCUUCUCGGGCAGCAGGUACAUGUAUGCGGCGGCCAGGCAAGGACAUCUUCCAGCAUGCUUCUCGUGUGUCAAUACAGAGACAGAGUCGCCAAGGGUGGCGGUUCUAGCGCAGAGUGUCCUCGCGCUUGUGAUCUCCUACAUCGGGGACCUCGACACCCUCAUCACCUACGUGAUGUUCGGCUUCUGGGCUCAGAGAAUCUUCAGUCUCGUCGCCCUCCUCAUCAUCCGCCACAAUCACAUUCCGGUGCAUCCCGACGCGGUUCGAGUUCCGCUUUUUUGUAUCUAUCUGUUUUUGGCGAUCACCGUGGCUCUUGUCAUCAUCCCAAUCUUCUAUGAGUUCCAGUCAACUGCGCUGGCUAUCGCGAUUUGUCUUUUCGGAUUCGUCUUGUACUAUGUCUUCAUUCACAAGGCGAUUUUCCCAAGAUGGCUUGUUGCUCUUAACAAAAAAGUAACCUUGUGGUGUUGCAUAUUAUUCGACUGCCUGCCAGAUGUCAAAGGCGGUGUCCAGCUUCUUGCGUCCGACAGUUCACAGGCCUUGCUUUCUGAGAGACUCUCAUCGACGCGGCUUUCUGACGACAGUUUCCCCGAUCUCCACUCUGAUGAGAAAAAUAUUAUGCGAAGGAAUGGUAGUGCAGCUGGAUUGAAAAUGCUGUAGAAUCUCCAGUGUGCCGUCAUCUCUUGUGGAUCUUAUCAGUGAUGUUCAGUAG